UCAAAAAUGGAAAUGUCUUCAAGAGAAUUAUAUUUUUAUCUAAAUCUGUAACAGAAUCCUGUCUCUUCAUUUAUGUUUGACACUGGCAUUUUAUCAAACCUAUUCAGCCAUACGUUAGAAUUGGAAGGAUUCGAAAGUGAACACCAUCGCACAAUGAGCUGAAGCUGAAUCGCUUGGACGCGUCUAUCACAAUGGUGUCUUGUUGUUAUUGAGUUGAAUUUAUACACUACUCUCGCAGUUGUAUGCCAGUUAAUAUAUAUUAAGCACUUAACUUCCAAAACAAACACAUCAACUUGCCAGCACUGCAAAGGAAUAAGAUGAAAAGAAGCAUAGCUUUCUUUGCCUUAAUGACGAUUACUUGUAUUCUUGAAAUAACAUUCAAUCACGCGCAAGAUAAAAGGAUCUCUACAUCUCAUAAUGGUACAGACGACUGUCCUCAGCCUCGAGUUGGCACGUGCUCAUGUACAUAUUGCCGAGGGAAACUAUGUCAAGUUCUUUGUUCCGGCCUCGAUGCCAUGCCUAGGAAGCUUUCUUUAACCGUCACUCACUUGGAAAUAACUCAAGGAUCAAUUCAACAAGUACCAAAGGAUUACUUCCUUAAUCAUACCUCCAUGUUUGUUUU